rnacentral:rRNA from 1 species
CCUACGGGUGGCAGCAGUGAGGAAUAUUGGUCAAUGGACGAGAGUCUGAACCAGCCAAGUAGCGUGAAGGAUGACUGCCCUAUGGGUUGUAAACUUCUUUUAUAUGGGAAUAAAAUGUUCCACGUGUGGGAUUUUGUAUGUACCAUAUGAAUAAGGAUCGGCUAACUCCGUGCCAGCAGCCGCGGUAAUACGGAGGAUCCGAGCGUUAUCCGGAUUUAUUGGGUUUAAAGGGAGCGUAGGUGGAUUGUUAAGUCAGUUGUGAAAGUUUGGGGCUCAACCGUAACAUUGCAGUUGAAACUGGCAGUCUUGAGUACAGUAGAGGUGGGCGGAAUUCGUGGUGUAGCGGUGAAAUGCUUAGAUAUCACGAAGAACCCCGAUUGCGAAGGCAGUUCACUGGACUGCAACUGACACUGAGGCUCGAAAGUGUGGGUAUCAAACAGGAUUAGAUACCCCUGUAGUC